AUUGAACGCUGGCGGCAGGCCUAACACAUGCAAGUCGAACGAGUGGCGGACGGGUGAGUAAUGUCUGGGAAACUGACCGAUGGAGGGGGAUAACUACUGGAAACGCUAGCUAAUACCGCAUACCAUCGGAUGUGCCCAGAUGGGAUAAGCUAGUAGGUAGGGUAAUGGCCUACCUAGGCAACGAUACAUAGCCGACCUGAGAGGAUGACCAGCCACACGGGAACGUAGGAACGUCCCAGCCUCCUACGGGAGGCAGCAGUGGGGAAUAUUGCACAAUGGGCGCAAGCCUGAUGCAGCCAUGCCGCGUGUAUGAAGAAGGCCCUCGGGUUGUAAAGUACUUUCGGCGAGGAUGCGUUACUCGCAGAAGAAGCACCGGCUAACUCCGUGCCAGCAGCCGCGGUAAUUC
rnacentral:rRNA from 1 species